rnacentral:lncRNA from 1 species
GACCCCACAAUUUCCACCUCCCCCACCCCCCACCCCAUACCUGUGGGGCAGCAGCCGUUGGGGUGGAGGCGGUUGUAGGGCAGGAAGUGGGGAACGGGACAGGAAGCGCCACCCUGAGCUCAGCCCUAUAACCAAAAGUAGGGGAGGGGAGAAAAUGGGGGACGCCCCAUAGAGGCUAUCGGAUCUAUGGGGUCUCUAUGGGGUCUGUGAGGCCUACGGAGUCUCUAUGGGGCAGAAUGGAGCUCUUUGGGUCACUAUGGGGCAGAAUGGGGCUCUAUGGGGUCUCUAUGGUCUCUAUGGGGCAGAAUGGGGCUCUAUGGGGUCUCUAUGUGGCAGAAUGCGGCUCUAUGGGGUCUCUGUGGGGCAGAAUGAGGCCUAUGGGGUCUCUAUGGGGUGGGAUGGGGCAGAAUGGGGCUCUGUGGGGUCUCUGUGGGGCAGAAUGGAGCUCUAUGGGGUGUCUAUGGGGCAGAAUUGGACUCUAUGGGGCCUCUAUGGGGCAGAAUGGAGCUCUAUGGGGUCUCUAUGGGGCAGAGUGGGGCUCUAUGGGGUCUCUAUGGGGCAGAGUGGGGCUCUAUGGGGUCUGUUGGGACUCUAUGGGGUCUGUUGUGACUCUGUGGGGUCUAUGGGGCUCUAUGGGGUCUGUUGGGACUCUAUGGGGUCUAUGGGGCUCUAUGGGGUCUGUUGAGACUCUAUGGGUCUCUGUGGGGCAGAAUGGGGCUCUAUGAGGCUCUAUGGGCUCUAUGGGGCUCUAUGGGGCCUGUUGGGUUCUAUGGGGCUCUGUGGGUCUCUAUGGGGUCUGUUGGGCUCUAUGGGGCUCUAUGGGCUCUAUGGGGCUCUAUGGGGCUCUGUGGAUCUCUAUGGGGUCUGUUGGGAUCUAUGCGGCUCUAUGGGCUCUAUGGGGCUCUGUGGAUCUCUAUGGGGUCUGUUGGGAUCUAUGGGGCUCUAUGGGGCUCUAUGGUUCUCUAUGGGCUCUAUGGGGCUCUAUGGUGUCUGUUGCGACUCUAUGGGCUCUAUGGGGCUCUAUGGGGUCUGUUGGGACUCUCUGGGCUCUAUGGGGCUCUAUGGUGUCUGUUGGGUUCUAUGGGGCUCUGUGGAUCUCUAUGGGGUCUGUUGGGAUCUAUGGGGCCUGUUGGGAUCUAUGGGGCUCUAUGGGGUCUAUGGGGCUCUAUGGGGUCUGUUGGGAUUCUAUGGGAUCUAUGGGGCUCUAUGGGGCUCAAUGGGGCUCUGUGGGUCUCUAUGGUGGUCCUCCACCUCAAUGGAGCCCAGCGGAGCUCAGUGGGUCACACACACACACACACACACACACAGCCGGCGCAGCACUUUGGGGUCCUUUAUUGGCAGAACGUCCCCCAUACAGACCACCCCCCCCCCCCCAUAACCCAUCACAGACCCUCCCCCUUCC